CCUANGGGGGGCAGCAGUAAGGAAUAUUGGUCAAUGGACGAAAGUCUGAACCAGCCAUCCCGCGUGCAGGAAGAAGGGGCUCUGCCUUGUAAACUGCUUUUGAAUGGGACGAAAGAGCUAUUUGCGAAUAGUGUUGACGGUACCAUUAGAAUAAGCACCGGCUAACUCCGUGCCAGCAGCCGCGGUAAUACGGAGGGUGCGAGCGUUAUCCGGAAUUACUGGGUUUAAAGGGUGCGUAGGCGGUGAUAUAAGUCAGUGGUGAAAGGCCGUAGCUUAACUAUGGGAUUGCCAUUGAUACUGUAUGACUUGAAUCAGGAUGAGGUUGGCGGAAUGUGGCAUGUAGCGGUGAAAUGCAUAGAUAUGCCAUAGAACACCGAUUGCGAAGGCAGCUGACUGGACCUUGAUUGACGCUGAGGCACGAAAGCGUGGGGAGCGAACAGGAUUAGAUACCCCUNUANUC
rnacentral:rRNA from 1 species